rnacentral:rRNA from 1 species
AUUGAACGCUGGCGGCAGGCCUAACACAUGCAAGUCGAACGAGUGGCGGACGGGUGAGUAAUGUCUGGGAAACUGCCCGAUGGAGGGGGAUAACUACUGGAAACGGUAGCUAAUACCGCAUACCAUCGGAGGGGCCCAGAUGGGAUUAGCUAGUAGGUGGGGUAAUGGCUAACCUAGGCGACGAUCCCUAGCUGGUCUGAGAGGAUGACCAGCCACACUGGAACUGAGACACGGCCCAGACUCCUACGGGAGGCAGCAGUGGGGAAUAUUGCACAAUGGGCGCAAGCCUGAUGCAGCCAUGCCGCGUGUAUGAAGAAGGCCUUCGGGUUGUAAAGUACUUUCAGCGAGGAGGCGUUACUCGCAGAAUAAGCACCGGCUAACUCCGUGCCAGCAGCCGCGGUAAUUC